rnacentral:rRNA from 1 species
ACGGAGGGGGCCAGCGUUGUUCGGAAUCAUUGGGCGUAAAGGGCGCGUAGGCGGCUUUGUAAGUCCGUUGUGAAAUCCCUCGGCUCAACCGAGGAACUGCGACGGAUACUGCUUGGCUUGAGUCCCGGAGAGGGUAGCGGAAUUCCCAGUGUAGCGGUGAAAUGCGUAGAUAUUGGGAGGAACAUCGGUGGCGAAGGCGGCUACCUGGACGGGUACUGACGCUGAUGCGCGAAAGCUAGGGGAGCAAACAGGA